rnacentral:rRNA from 1 species
CCUACGGGAGGCAGCAGUGGGGAAUAUUGCACAAUGGGGGAAACCCUGAUGCAGCGACGCCGCGUGAGCGAUGAAGUAUUUCGGUAUGUAAAGCUCUAUCAGCAGGGAAGAAAAUGACGGUACCUGACUAAGAAGCCCCGGCUAACUACGUGCCAGCAGCCGCGGUAAUACGUAGGGGGCAAGCGUUAUCCGGAUUUACUGGGUCGAAGGGGAGCGUAGACGGCUGUGCAAGCCAGAUGUGAAAGCCCGGGGCCUAACCCCGGGACUGCAUUUGGAACUGUGUGGCUGGAGUGUCGGAGAGGCAGGCGGAAUUCCUAGGGUAGCGGUGAAAUGCGUAGAUAUUAGGAGGAACACCAGUGGCGAAGGCGGCCUGCUGGACGAUGACUGACGUUGAGGCUCGAAAGCGUGGGGAGCAAACAGGAUUAGAUACCCGAGUAGUC